CAAAAUGGAGCUUGGUGAGUUAAGCAUCUCAUUUACACUGAGAAGUUACUGUGCGAAUCAGUUUAUUUUGA
rnacentral:tRNA from 1 species